UCCCUGGGGAUCCUGUGGCUAAGACUCUGUGCUCCCAAUGCAGGGGGCCCAGGUUCAAUCCCUGGUCAGGGAA
rnacentral:tRNA from 1 species